UACGUAGGGUGCAAGCGUUAAUCGGAAUUACUGGGCGUAAAGCGUGCGCAGGCGGCUUUGCAAGUCAGAUGUGAAAUCCCCGGGCUUAACCUGGGAACUGCAUUUGUGACUGCAUGGCUGGAGUGCGGCAGAGGGAGAUGGAAUUCCGCGUGUAGCAGUGAAAUGCGUAGAUAUGCGGAGGAACACCGAUGGCGAAGGCAAUCCCCUGGGCCUGCACUGACGCUCAGGCACGAAAGCGUGGGGAGCAAACAGG
rnacentral:rRNA from 1 species